rnacentral:rRNA from 1 species
GACGAACGCUGGCUGCGUGCUUAACACAUGCAAGUCGAACGGUGAAGGGGAGCUUGCUCCCCGGAUCAGUGGCGAACGGGUGAGUAACACGUGGGCAACCUGCCCCUCACUCUGGGAUAACUCCGGGAAACCGGGGCUAAUACCGGAUACGACCGGGAGCGACAUCGCUCCUGGUGGAAAGAACUUCGGUGAGGGAUGGGCCCGCGGCCUAUCAGCUAGUUGGUGGGGUAACGGCCCACCAAGGCGACGACGGGUAGCCGGCCUGAGAGGGCGACCGGCCACGCUGGGACUGAGACACGGCCCAGACUCCUACGGGAGGCAGCAGUGGGGAAUAUUGCGCAAUGGGCGAAAGCCUGACGCAGCGACGCAGCGUGAGGGACGAAGGCCUUCGGGUUGUAAACCUCUUUCAGCGGGGACGAAGCGAAAGUGACGGUACCCGCAGAAGAAGCACCGGCUAACUACGUGCCAGCCGCCGCCGUAACAC